GGGGGCGACCAGUUUUGACAGAUAACUCUGAGGCUUGCUUGCAGGUAGCGGUUGACCAGGCCGCUUAAAAUAGGGUCACAACAAUAGUUGGCAACAACUACAACAACAACGUUUGGGCUACUGCCUAAACCCGAUGCUUUUGUAUUGACGGGAUGCAAAAGCAAUCGGUCAAUAAUCCGUCUGCUGCAAAAAAGGUUAGUUUGGCCUAAUUUUGCAUAAGAUAAAGCAAACAAGUAAAGCAGCAGCGGCUCCGGGCAAGCGGCUUUACUAUAAUACCGGGGCUAAACCUGUAGUAAGUAAGUUAUAAGGUUGUUUGGACGCGGGUGCGAAUCCCGCCGCCUCCACU
rnacentral:tmRNA from 1 species